GGAUAAUUAGCAUUUCGUAGACAGAGUCUUAAGCAGCUUUGUCAAUAUUGCCCCGUCAAAGCGCCAGAGUGCGGCAGAGACAAGGCAAAAAAUGACAGCUCGAGCCGCCAAGACCUGAGUGAUGAGAACGAGCUGUCAACGCCUGUCACCUCUCAAAGAGAGCCGAAAAAGCAAACAACCUAUGUAAAUUUUACUAGUAUGUGAAAAGUUCGCUCGGAUGUUUGACUUGAAGGUAAUCACUGUGGGAUUGCUGAGAGCAUGGAUAGUUUAUACGAAUUAAAUUAUUCAGGGUGUAAAGCAACAGUGUUUGGAGAGAAACGCAUAAGUGCGCGCUCGCUCUGUGCAGGAGGGAAAUAUGUUUGCAGCGGCCUUUAAGUGAUUCCUUGGAAGAAUCAUGGCGCCUGACUAAUAAAAACCAUCGCGAUCACUACAGGGAAGUCUCAGGAAACUACAGGGUUGCCCUAUUAGAAAGAAAUUUCGAACUUGUUGAGUUUGGGACCUUCUCUAUUGACGCCCAAGGAUCACACACCUUUUUAUCGAUGUAGUCAUCUAUUCUCUCUCUAAAGUCAAUACACCAUCGAUUCACCGACUACUCAGUACACACAGGAACGCCAUCGAAGAAAACGAGAUACCCAACUUAAAGUAAAUGAUUUUAUGAGCCAGACGUUGUCCUGGUUUCAGAGUUCGAACGUAAUAAACCAUUCGUUGUUCUCAAAUCUCCCUCAGGGACUCCCUGUUACAAUCAAAAGUUCACAUUAAAUAACCCGAAAACCGCGAGAAGAAAAGACUAAUAAAACUCGAAUCAGAGCGAGCCGAAGUGUAACAGAGCGUGGUCAUGCACGGCUCAAACUGUUUGAUAGCGCGCGCACUUGAAACAGAACCCAUAAACCUUUAAAAACGCGUUUUCCUGCAGCCCAAGCCAGAAACAACGUCUUCAUCCGUUUUCUUCCUCUACAAGGGGUAAUUCGGUGGCGAGCGGUGGGCUCGCAACCAAUUCAUUUCUUCUUCCUGUAGAAGCUCCCAGCAUGAGUCGACCGGCGGCGAGUGAAGCUCAGGUCAUCAAACCGACACUACUUCUCAAUAAAGGCAACUAGUGCAGCUAAGACAUACUUCUUUCGCAGCUAGGCAGAAUUAUUUAGCCUUUUGCCACGGGGUUAACGGAAAAGAUAAGGCGCAAAGACAUCGACGAGAUCGUACGGGAAAUCUGGGCGGGUGAAGAAGCUAUAUGACUUAAACAUUCCCCCAUGAACGAAGAACUAGGCAAGAGCGCACUUUGUGGUGGACUUUGUCGCUAAAAAACCUGAGUAAGUGUAGGAAAAUUAUUUUAAAUCGUAAUAAGACAUUUUAACUCGUUAUCAUUUCUCUGAAGUAUAAAAACACAAACAUUUAAACUUCGCUUAGAAUGGAUGAAAUUCACGAUGGGUUAGAGUCAGAAAUGAUUCACAGCUAGUUUCCCAUGAUAGAGUUUAUGUUUUAACCGAUUGAUGAAGUACAUCGUAUGAGAAAAUGGAUGGAAAACUAGUAAAACUACAGAACACAUCGCUUAUUAUACACAUUAUACUCUGAUAAACAUAUACUUGUAUGACAGAGUAUAUUUCGAAAAAUACAGAGCGACCUGUAGAGAGGUAAAGCGUAUUAAUUAAAAACAUUACUGGAAUUAUUUAGUUCCUAUACAUUCGUUUCAAACACACCUAAUAUGUUUUUCAUGUUUUACAAAACUGGUCUCCAAGGAUGAAAAGCUAUUCCAAGCUCUCGGCAGCGAGUGUGAAACGGUUAAAAAGAGCUUUACUCAAGAAGACAUGCUUUUUUCACAGUUAGAGAACUUCGGGCGUAAAAUAUGAAGAAGAUAAUACAAUCUGUAUGAUUUCAAUUUCUGCUGUAAAAUACAAGAUUUUAAACAUUUAAAAUACCUCUGGUAUCUAAGCCUUACAUGGUGAUAACCUAUUCUGUUGGGUAAUGUUCGGGGUCAGGAAUGGGCGAAACGGUCAAUAAGCAAAAUUGUUCUGAAAAUUCGCUAAUCCUUCAAACAAAACGUGCCAUAACGGCAUGAUCCGAUGAUAUAUUUCUUUUUCUUCAGUUUACUCUCAAACUAAUCUCUAUCCCUUAGGAAGUCAUUCAAAACUGUUCGCUUCCGAGGGUGAUUAAGAGCAUCUUUUGUACUUAAAUAGAAUAAAACAUAACGAAUA